rnacentral:tRNA from 1 species
GGGGAUGUAACUCAGUGGUAGAGAGCUUGCCUAGCAGGCACAAGGCCCUGGGUUAAAUCCCCAGCACCAUCA